rnacentral:rRNA from 1 species
CGCCGCGGUAAUUCCAGCUCCAAUAGCGUAUAUUAAAGUUGUUGCAGUUAAAAAGCUCGUAGUUGAAUUUUGGGUCUGGCCGGGCGGUCCGCCCUCUGGGUGAGCACUGUUCCGACGCCGGGCCUAUCCUUCUGGUGAGUCGGCAUGUCCUUUAUUGGGUGUGCCGGGGAACCAGGACCAUUACCUUGAAAAAAUUAGAGUGUUCAAAGCAGGCGUAUGCUCGGAUACAUUAGCAUGGAAUAAUGAAAUAGGACGCGUGGUGCUAUUUUGUUGGUUUCUAGAACCGCCGUAAUGAUUAAUAGGGAUAGUUGGGGGCAUUAGUAUUCAAUUGUCAGAGGUGAAAUUCUUGGAUUUAUUGAAGACUAACUUCUGCGAAAGCAUUUGCCAAGGAUGUUUUCAUUAAUCAAGAACGAAAGUUAGGGGAUCGAAGACGAUCAGAUACCGUCGUAGUCUUAACCAUAAACUAUGCCGACUAGGAAUCGGGCGAUGUUAUUCUCAUGACUCGCCCGGCGCCUUAUG